AUAGUUUGAUUAUGGCUCAGAACGAACGUUGGCGGCGUGGAUUAGGCAUGCAAGUCGAACGGGAAAGUGCCUUCGGGCAUGAGUAGAGUGGCGAACGGGUGAGUAACGCGUGGGAAACCUGCCUUUGAGCGGGGGAUAACACCUCUAACGGGGUGCUAAUACCGCAUAACACCGGAGAGUCGCAUGGCUCUCUGGUCAAAGCUGGCCUCUGUUUCAAGCUAGCACUCAAAGAUGGUCCCGCGUCCGAUUAGCUUGUUGGUGGGGUAACGGCCUACCAAGGCUUCUAUCGGUAGCUGGUCUGAGAGGAUGGUCAGCCACACUGGGACUGAGAUACGGCCCAGACUCCUACGGGAGGCAGCAGUCGAGAGGCUUCGGCAAUGGGGGAAACCCUGACCGAGCGACGCCGCGUGAGGGAUGACGCCCUUCGGGGUGUAAACCUCUUUUCUGGGGGAAGAACCGUACCGAGAUUAAUAUGCUCGGUGCCUGACGGUACCCCAGGAAUAAGCUCCGGCUAACUCCGUGCCAGCAGCCGCGGUAAUACGGGGGGAGCAAACGUUGUUCGGAAUCACUGGGCGUAAAGGGCGCGUAGGCGGCCCGGCAAGUGGUGUGUGAAAGCCCCUGGCUCAACCAGGGAACUGCGCUCCAAACUGCCGGGCUUGAGGGCAGUAGAGGAAACUGGAAUUCCUGGUGUAGCGGUGAAAUGCGUAGAUAUCAGGAGGAACACCGUUGGCGAAGGCGAGUUUCUGGGCUGUCCCUGACGCUGAUGCGCGAAAGCUGGGGGAGCAAAC
rnacentral:rRNA from 1 species